ACAGCGUUCGUGCCCGACAAUAAUUUAACCGUAACGUAAUGUAAAACAUUAUUUCAGUGGUUCCAGUUUACUUCUCCCUCCCUCUCUCCGCCGAUCGUUAUUGACAUCGAUUGCUUGCACGACUGUUGACACACCGGACGUUUUAAUCUCCCUCAAACGUCAAACGCUCGAACUACUACGACCACCCUCUCGUUCGCAACUCUUGCUGUUCCUGCUGUAGUCUAUUGAUCUGCCCGUUCAGGCGACGUUUUUGCCCAUCGCGCGACCGAGCACCGACAUCGUCACUGUGUAGGUUAGGAACUCAAGCAUACGAUUUAAAUGCCCAGCAAAAAGAGAAAGUUCAACGCCCGUUUUCCUGCUGUGAGUAUAAA